AAUGCUCCCCCUCUACCAUAUUUCCUUGAACUCGGGGUCGUGGGACUGAGCCUGUAGGGGCCAGCACACCCUCCUGCUGGGGCUUCUCCAGAGUGUGUCAUCCUCCCUGUCCCCAGAUCAGGUAUCUCUGGCACAGGGCUAGCAC
ensembl:miRNA